GACGAACGCUGGCGGCGUGCCUAACACAUGCAAAUCGAGCGAGUUAAUCUCCUUCGGGAGUGAAGCUAGCGGCGGACGGGUGAGUAACGCGUGGGAAUAUGCCUCUUGGUACGGAAUAGCCUCGGGAAACUGGGAGUAAUACCGUAUGUGCCCUUUGGGGGAAAGAUUUAUCGCCAAGAGAUUAGCCCGCGUUGGAUUAGGUAGUUGGUGGGGUAAUGGCCUACCAAGCCGACGAUCCAUAGCUGGGUUGAGAGGAUGAUCAGCCACACUGGGACGGAGACACGGCCCAGACUCCUACGGGAGGCAGCAGUGGGGAAUCUUAGACAAUGGGGGCAACCCUGAUCUAGCCAUGCCGCGUGAUCGAUGAAGGCCUUAGGGUUGUAAAGAUCUUUCAGUGGGGAAGAUAAUGACUGUACCCACAGAAGAAGCCCCGGCUAACUCCGUGCCAGCAGCCGCAGUAACAC
rnacentral:rRNA from 1 species